UCCUUGGAGAUCUCGCUUACCCUUUAAUGCCAUGGCUCAUGAAACCCUACACAGGGAGCCUUGACAGCAGCAAGGAACGGUUCAACAACAGGCUGAGUUUGUGCAGAAUGACUGUUGAGUGUGCUUCUGGCCGUUUAAAGGCCCACUGGUGCUGCCUAUAUGG